UACGUAGGGGGCAAGCGUUGUCCGGAUUUAUUGGGCGUAAAGAGCGUGUAGGCGGCUAGAUAGGUCCGUUGUGAAAACUCGAGGCUCAACCUCGAGACGUCGAUGGAAACCAUCUGGCUAGAGUCCGGAAGAGGAGAGUGGAAUUCCUGGUGUAGCGGUGAAAUGCGCAGAUAUCAGGAAGAACACCCGUGGCGAAGGCGGCUCUCUGGUACGUGACUGACGCUGAGACGCGAAAGCCAGGGGAGCAAACAGG
rnacentral:rRNA from 1 species